rnacentral:snRNA from 1 species
CAGUAUAUGUUUCUCAUCACUCCAAAUGGAUAAAUCUUAUGCCAUUUACUAAAGAUUUCCAUGGGGAGGAACAUUUUAAUGAGUCUUUAGACUUAUUUUUGUGAGUCUCAUCCGAAC